rnacentral:sRNA from 1 species
GCACUACCAGGCGGGCCCCGUUGGCCG